rnacentral:tRNA from 1 species
GCGAGAGUGGCGGAAUUGGUAGACGCACUGGAUUUAGGUUCCAGCGGCUUAGUCCGUGGGAGUUCGAGUCUCCCCUCUCGCACCA